rnacentral:lncRNA from 1 species
UGAGUAAAAAACGAACUAACCCAUUGGAAAUUCAAAUCGGAACGACCAAAUAGCCGACGUUGACAGACGAUUGCGCCGACGUCUGAGCAAUUUCAGACCAAGCAGAAUACACAAACAUUCUCUGGCACAAGUGCAUUGGCAAUAAGGUUUUCGACGGUGGCGCCGACUGAGAAUGUCGACGAAACCACUUGUCAAAGUUUGCACUUUAUAGAAAAAUUCUCCAAGUUAAAAUUGGAGCUCGAUACGAACGGACGUGUGUAGACGGCAAUUUGCGCGAUACAAUAUAAUUUUCUUUUCAACCCAAAUUUAAAAUUGAUGAAAAGCCAACAACGUUUAAAGAGUUAAAAAAAAUACUACCUACCGCAAAAGUAAGUUUGCCACUACGCAAUAUUUAAUUAAAAUUUCACUUUGAAAUACGUCAAAAAUUUGACAAUAAUAAAGUUCUCAAACGAAGUUGAAAUAGAAAAUUUCACAGCAGAAGGAAUUUUUGUAUAAAUUUGUGCAGAGAUUGCAUUAAUUGAACAUAAAAAAUUGAAAAAAAAUAAAAUUGUAACAAAAUUUAAGUGUAAAAGCCACAAAAUUGCCAAAUGAAGUGAGUAAGAUAAGCGUGUGUGUGAAAAGUGAGAAAAUUUAGUAAUUGAAAAGUGCAAAACACAAUUGUUGUAGUUCAAAACAUUGGGGAUACACGUAAACAGCAUCGAACAACAACAAAAAUAACAGUAUUGACUAUUACAAGCAACAAUACGCAAUAGAAGAAGUACGAAAUACGCGCGGCCCUUAAAAGCGGCGGUGGCUAAGAGGAAAAGGCAGCGGCAGCAAUUAGCAGUUGUGCAAUUUUCAUGCUUAGUGAUUGUUAUAAAAACAAAAAGGCUCUUUUGCAAACGACAAUUUUCGAGGUGGUGCAGUGUUUAUAUUGAAAGUGACAAGUGAUUCGUGAAUAGUGUACAAAGCAAGUGAAUGUGUAGUGCAAUAAAAAAUCAUAUAAGAGAGCAAACAUAACCCUAUAAAUAUACGCUAAAACUACCGGAACAGCCAGCAUAUUAGUAGAGGGCACGAAUAGCUCUUACCGCCAUAACUCCUGCUCCGUAGUAACAGCGCAACGGCAUCCCACGCCCAAAAUAACCGUUGCAGCCCAACCAGCUGCAAUCAAAAUACAAAUCGGCGUGUUAUAGCACCCAUCGUGCAACAAACACAACACGCGUCACCACCAAGUGGACGCGGUAUACGCCACAACAAUUCCCAGUCGCAGGUCUGUCGCGCUGUCGUGCGUUCGGCGAGAACACCCGAAAAGCGUCACUCGACAAAUCAGUUGCUCAAACGCGAUCGCUAUUACUAUCAGGUCAAUCCGCAGACGCGCUGGUAUACCAUAUAUGAACGUGUGCCAUACUUCCGUUGGGAGCCACGUUUGAGCGGCGUCUAC